GACUCGAUAGCUCAAUGGGUAGAGCGGCGGUCCAACGAUGGCUCUGGGUACGAGAUUGGCGGCGGUCUAGAUACCCGAAGAUGCGAGUUCAAAUCCCGCUCGAGCCA